GGAGUUAGCCGGUGCUUCUUCUGUGAGUGAUGUCCUUCCUGCCGGCUAUUAACCCGCAGGCCUUCUUCCUCACUGAAAGUGCUUUACAACCCGAAGGCCUUCUUCACACACGCGGCAUUGCUGGAUCAGGGUUGCCCCCAUUGUCCAAUAUUCCCCACUGCUGCCUCCCGUAGGAGUCUGGGCCGUGUCUCAGUCCCAGUGUGGCUGAUCAUCCUCUCAGACCAGCUACGGAUCGUCGCCUUGGUGAGCCGUUACCUCACCAACCAGCUAAUCCGACAUAGGCUCAUCCGAUAGCGCGAGGCCCGAAGGUCCCCCGCUUUCCCCCGUAGGGCGUAUGCGGUAUUAGCCUGGGUUUCCCCAGGUUAUCCCCCACUACCGGGCAGAUUCCUAUGCAUUACUCACCCGUCCGCCGCUCGCCACCAGGGAGCAAGCUCCCCGUGCUGCCGCUCGACUUGCAUGUGUUAGGCCUGCCGCCAGCGUUCAAUCUGAGCCGAAUCAAACUCUGA
rnacentral:rRNA from 1 species